rnacentral:rRNA from 1 species
CUGUGAGCUCGAUGAGUAGGGCGGGACACGUGGUAUCCUGUCUGAAUAUGGGGGGACCAUCCUCCAAGGCUAAAUACUCCUGACUGACCGAUAGUGAACCAGUACCGUGAGGGAAAGGCGAAAAGAACCCCGGCGAGGGGAGUGAAAAAGAACCUGAAACCGUGUACGUACAAGCAGUGGGAGCACGCUUAGGCGUGUGACUGCGUACCUUUUGUAUAAUGGGUCAGCGACUUAUAUUCUGUAGCAAGGUUAACCGAAUAGGGGAGCCGAAGGGAAACCGAGUCUUAACUGGGCGUUAAGUUGCAGGGUAUAGACCCGAAACCCGGUGAUCUAGCCAUGGGCAGGUUGAAGGUUGGGUAACACUAACUGGAGGACCGAACCGACUAAUGUUGAAAAAUUAGCGGAUGACUUGUGGCUGGGGGUGAAAGGCCAAUCAAACCGGGAGAUAGCUGGUUCUCCCCGAAAGCUAUUUAGGUAGCGCCUCGUGAAUUCAUCUCCGGGGGUAGAGCACUGUUUCGGCAAGGGGGUCAUCCCGACUUACCAACCCGAUGCAAACUGCGAAUACCGGAGAAUGUUAUCACGGGAGACACACGGCGGGUGCUAACGUCCGUCGUGAAGAGGGAAACAACCCAGACCGCCAGCUAAGGUCCCAAAGUCAUGGUUAAGUGGGAAACGAUGUGGGAAGGCCCAGACAGCCAGGAUGUUGGCUUAGAAGCAGCCAUCAUUUAAAGAAAGCGUAAUAGCUCACUGGUCGAGUCGGCCUGCGCGGAAGAUGUAACGGGG